ensembl:snoRNA
UGGACCAGUGAUGAUGAUCGGUGGUGUAUGAGUCACAGAUGAUGAGUGUUACGUGUCUGAAACUCUGAGGUCCAA